rnacentral:rRNA from 1 species
UGGGGAAUAUUGCACAAUGGGCGAAAGCCUGAUGCAGCGACGCCGCGUGAGGGAUGACGGCCUUCGGGUUGUAAACCUCUUUCAGUAUGGACGAAGCGCAAGUGACGGUACCUGCAGAAGAAGCACCGGCUAACUACGUGCCAGCAGCCGCGGUAAUACGUAGGGUGCGAGCGUUGUCCGGAAUUACUGUGCGUAAAGAGCUCGUAGGCGGUUUGUCACGUCGUCUUUGAAAUCCUCGGGCUUAACCCGGGACGUGCAGGCGAUACGGGCUGACUUGAGUACUACAGGGGAGACUGGAAUUUCUGGUGUAGCGGUGGAAUGCACAGAUAUCAGGAAGAACACCGAUGGCGAAGGCAGGUCUCUGGGUAGUAACUGACGCUGAGGAGCGAAAGCAUGGGUAGCGAACAGG